AAAAAUCAUAAGCGUGUCGUAUCUUUGUAUGUGAUAGAGAUUUCCCUUGAUUUACAUAAACUUUAUCUUUGAUUUUCUCGACUUACACAACGUAUUUUUUGAAAAUUACUUCGUCAAUGAGACAAUAAAUUUAUACUAGCACUAUUCAAGCAAUUUAAAACAUUUUGCAGUGCACGUUUUAUCAGUCCUAAAGAUACUCGGCUUCGCCUCGUAUCUUUAUAUCUG